AUUGAACGCUGGCGGCAGGCCUAACACAUGCAAGUCGAGCGGAGCGGCGGACGGGGGAGUAAUGCCUAGGAAUCUGAAUGGGCGUGGGGGAUAACGUCCGGAAACGGGCGCUAAUACCGCAUACUAUCAGAUGAGCCUAGGUCGGAUUAGCUAGAUGGUGGGGUAAGGGCCUACCAAGGCGACGAUCCGUAACUGGUCUGAGAGGAUGACCAGUCACACUGGAACUGAGACACGUUCCAGACUCCUACGGGAGGCAGCAGUGGGGAAUAUUGGACAAUGGGCGCAAGCCUGAUCCAGCCAUGCCGCGUGUGUGAAGAAGGUCUUCGGAUUGUAAAGCACUUUAAGUUGGGAGGCGUUACCAACAGAAUAAGCACCGGCUAACUUCGUGCCAGCAGCCGCGGUAAUAC
rnacentral:rRNA from 1 species